UCAGACGAUGCGUCAUGCAUAUCAAUAAGCGGAGGAAAAGAAACUAACUAGGAUUCCCUCAGUAACGGCGAGUGAAGCGGGAAGAGCUCAAAUUUGAAAUCUUCAAGGUUCUACCUUGACGAAUUGUAGUUUAAAGAAGUGUUUUCUGUUGGAGUUUUGGUAAAAGUUCUUUGGAAUAGGACAUCAUAGAGGGUGAGAAUCCCGUAUUUGACCAUUAUUUCCAGCUUUGUGAUACACUUUCAAAGAGUCGGAUUGUUUGGGAAUGCAGUCCAAAAUGGGUGGUAAAUUUCAUCUAAAGCUAAAUAUUGGCGAAGAGACCGAUAGCGAACAAGUACCGUGAGGGAAAGAUGAAAAGAACUUUGAAAAGAGAGUUAAACAGUACGUGAAAUUGUCAAAAGGGAAGCGUUUGACACCAGUGUUGUUUUCUCGAAAAUCAAUUAAAAAAGGCAGGAUUUUGUGUUGUAUUGACUUUAUCAGCUUUCUGCACUCUUUUCUUGUCUUUUUUUAAUGCACUUUUCGUUUAACAAGUCAACAUCAAUUUCUUUUGUUGUAAAAGGGUCAUUGGAAGGUGGCUUUCUUUUCGGAGAAAGUGUUUAUAGUCUUUGGCCUCUGCAAUCGGAGAGAUUGAGGUCUGCAGCGUAGAUCCUUCGGGGUUAGAUACAUUUGUGCUAAGUUAUAGCCUUUCAUAGACAACUUGUUGACUAUGAUCAGUCAUGUAGCUUACUCGCUUAUGCUAUUUUACCUACGCUUAGGAUGUUGAUCUACAGAGCGAGAGU
rnacentral:rRNA from 1 species